UGAAGGCCUGUCAUCGACCCUUGAGUUCCUUCAGAGAGGUUUCCUGAGCAUGAACCCUGACCGUGGCACCAGAGCCAAGCGCUCCAAGUCAGAAGUGAACAAGAAAGUACUUAACCUGGUCAAGAAAAUAGCAGAGCUGGAGUGGAAUGUGUGAGGCUGUCGGUCAUCCUAUGUGGGAACGAGGCAUGCAACAUGGGGCUCGGGCUCAUUCAACACAAGGUCUUGGCACCAGGAAGAUUUCAGCAGCCAUAAGCAAUGGCACUUGGGUCUAAAUUUGAUCAGAGGGUAUAUGGACCUGGGUCCUCAUCAUCCAAGUAAAUAAAUGUUCU
rnacentral:lncRNA from 1 species